rnacentral:hammerhead_ribozyme from 1 species
CUCCAGAUGACGAGUCCCAAAUAGGACGAAACACGUCCUGGAU